rnacentral:rRNA from 1 species
UAGUCCACGCCCUAAACGAUGGGUGCUAGCCGUCGGGUCACCAAAUAGCAAUUUAAUUUGCUAUUUGGCGACUCGGUGGCGUAGCUAACGCGUUAAGCACCCCGCCUGGGGAGUACGGCCGCAAGGUUAAAACUCAAAGAAAUUGACGGGGACCCGCACAAGCGGUGGAACAUGUGGUUUAAUUCGAGGCAACGCGAAGAACCUUACCAGGCUUUGACAUGCCCCACGCGGACUCCAGAGACGGAGUCCUUCAGCUCGGCUGGUGGGUGCACAGAUGCUGCAUGGCUGUCGUCAGCUCGUGUCGUGAGAUGUUGGGCUAAGUCCCGCAACGAGCGCAACCCUCAUCCUUUGUUGCUAACAGGUUAUGCUGAGAACUCUAAGGAAACUGCCGGAGUUAAUCCGGGAGGGAAGGGUGGGGGAUGGACGUCAAGUCCUCAUGGCUCUUACAGCCUGGGGCUACACACGUGUUACAA